rnacentral:rRNA from 1 species
UAGGGAAUAUUGGACAAUGGGCGAAAGCCUGAUCCAGCAAUGCCGCGUGAGCGAUGAAGGCCUUAGGGUUGUAAAGCUCUUUUACCCGGGAUGAUAAUGACAGUACCGGGAGAAUAAGCCCGCUAGCUACCCGUGCCAGCAGCCGCGGUAAUACGGAGGGGCGUAGCGUUGUUCGGAAUUACUGGGCGUAAAGCGCACGUAGGCGGCUAUUCAAGUCAGAGGUGAAAGCCCGGGGCUCAACCCGCAGAUAGCCUUUGAAACUAGAUAGCUUGAAUCACGGAGAGGUGGGUGGAAUUCCGAGUGUAGAGGUGAAAUUCGUAGAUAUUCGGAAGAACACCAGUGGCGAAGGCGGCCCACUGGACGUGUAUUGACGCUGAGGUGCGAAAGCGUGGGGAGCAAACAGGAUUAGAUACCC